rnacentral:rRNA from 1 species
CCUUUAGAUGUCCUGGGCCGCACGCGCGCUACACUGAGUGUCUGAGAUACGAGUCUGCCUGGUCCGGCAAGGUCUAGGUAAUCGCUAAAAGACACAUCAUGCUUGGGAUAGAUUAUUGCAAAUAUUAAUCUUGAACGAGGAAUUCCUAGUAAGCGCAAGUCAACAGCUUGCGUUGAUUACGUCCCUGCCCUUUGUACACACCGCCCGUCGCUACUACUGAUUGGAUGUUUAAGCGAGGUUCUCGAACUGCUAGCGACUUAGCUUCGGUGAGGUCGCAGUGUGGGAAGUGAACCUAGCUUUGGUGUCUAGAGGAAGUAAAAGUCGUAACA